rnacentral:lncRNA from 1 species
GGCAGGUUCCAAGCACUCCAUUGUGAACUUGGUGUUAUCAACCAUUAUGAGUGCUGUAUCGUUAAAGCCCUCUGCAAUUCGGGAAGCCACCUUCUCAGCAACCUGGGUUGGACUGGCAUCUUUCACGCGUUCAUUUGCCUGGUAAUAUCCAGCUAUCACGUAGCUAUUCUCCUUGCACCAAGAGUCAAUCAGCGUGAGGGCCACCUCCAGCAUCGGAGCCAGCGCCAGGGUGCCGUGGAACAGCGGGAUGCAGUCGACGAACAGCGAAGGCGGCCCGGCCUGCUCUCGGCCCCGGCUCCCCGGCGGCCGCUCGGCCACCAGCAGCCCAUUCACGGCGCAGUGGGGGUACUUGGCGCCG